ensembl:lncRNA
GUUUUAGGUGUAUGGUCUUUUAGCUUUCCUUUAGCUGUAUUCCACACAUUCUUAGCAUUGAUUUGUUCAGGUUAUCAUAGGUAACAUUAACUGCUGAUUAAUGAGACUCCUUUACAGCAGUGCAUGUAGACAUGUUUUUCUAUAGAGAUUUCAUUCCACUCUACUGUCUGUAUAUUUAAAUGUUAAACAUGAUAAAUAACUUUGCCUGCUUUAAACAUUUUAAAAAUAUUUUAUUACUUUUGUUCACUUCUUCAGAAUUGCAGUGCAAGCUUCCUGUCUUACAUUACCUUGCAAGAAAAAAAUGACUUCCGGAUAGAAAGACAGAUAGAUAGACAGACAGAUAGACAGUUAGACAGACAGAUAGAUAGAUGAUAGAUGAUUUCUAUGUGUACAUAUGUGUGAACAAGUAGACCACAUUCAGUAAAAAUUCACAGGGAAAUCAUGAGAAUUUUCAUUACAGCACAAAGAGGUUUGCAAUAACUUUGAUCUGAUAUAGAAUAUUCAAUGCUUUACAUCUCUCUGGGAAGGAAGUGGAAACACGCUGUGGUUAAGGGUCUCUGCAUUUUGCUGAAACCUUUAGUUGGUUUGACACCAUUGCGAAAGACUGACACAAUGAAGCAAGUAAUUUUCUUCUUCUGUGUAUUUUCUUAUUGGAUUACACAAAUCACAUCCAAUGAUGCGUCAGUACAAGGAUCUUCUGAUCUGUUAAGAGUUCAACUGGAAGAAAACGUCAGUCUGAACUGCAGCAUGACAGAUCAACAUGACAUCGCCUGGUAUCACCUCAGAUCUGACCGAUUCAAUCAACUGAUUGCGGCAGAAAAGGAUGAAACAGGAAGAAAACUUCUGGUCACCUACAAUCAAAACAGCAUUCGUCUGAUAAUUACUGCAGACUGGCGGAUCACCACAGUGACUUUAACUAUUUCUGGAGUAACAGAGUCAGAUUCUGGUCUUUAUUUCUGUGGAACAAAGUCUGGCACUACAGAGAUGUACUUCAACAAACCCAUCAGACUAGAGAUCCAGGGUCUUUCUGUAACAGAAGAACCAAAAGAAGUUGACAUCACAGGUAACAUGUUGGUUAUCUUGGUCGAUAAUUUAAUUUUUCAUGUUCUAACUUUGGAAAUCCAGCACUAUUCUAGUCAUCAGUUAACACUUUCUGGUUACAAAUAUGAAUUAUUCCUGUCUGUCUAUAGAUGGAGUGACUACGAAAGAGAGGGCAAUGAUGUUCGGUGGUGUUGGUCUGGCUGUGCUUGUGUUUUUUCUGGCUACAGUCUUUGCAGGAGGAAUCAUUCACUAUCGAGGUUGGCAGAAAGGAUGGGCCGCAGCCAAACGCUCAUCUCUGAUUCAUCACAAAUCAGAUAAAUGAUACAUUUAUGUGCUUUAUUUUACAGUCUGAGCUUUGCACUGCCAGUUAAAUCAGCAUUACUGCAGGUUACCACAAAUAAAACAGAAAACUGUGACCUAGAUGCCUUUCCU